rnacentral:rRNA from 1 species
UACGUAGGGACCAAGCGUUGUUCGGAUUUACUAGGCGUAAAGGGCGCGUAGGCGGCGUGACAAGUCACUUGUGAAAUCUCCGGGCUUAACUCGGAACGGUCAAGUGAUACUGUUGUGCUAGAGUACAGAAGGGGCAAUCGGAAUUCUUGGUGUAGCGGUGAAAUGCGUAGAUAUCAAGAGGAACACCAGAGGCGAAGGCGGAUUGCUGGGCUGAUACUGACGCUGGAGGCGCGAAAGCUAGGGUAGCAAACGGG